CGUAAUCGAGGGACAGAGGGCGAGGGAAAACGGGGGGGGCAAGCGUUAAACGGAAUGACUGGGCGUAAAGCGCACGCAAGCGGUUGGAUAAGUGAGAUGUGAAAGCCCCGGGCUCAACCUGGGAAUUGCAUUUAAAACUGUCCAGCUAGAGUCUUGUAGAGGGGGGUAGAAUUCCAGGUGUAGCGGUGAAAUGCGUAGAGAUCUGGAGGAAUACCGGUGGCGAAGGCGGCCCCCUGGACAAAGACUGACGCUCAGGUGCGAAAGCGUGGGGAGCAAACAGGAUUAGAUACCCUAGUAGUC
rnacentral:rRNA from 1 species